rnacentral:rRNA from 1 species
UACAGAGGUCUCAAGCGUUGUUCGGAUUCAUUGGGCGUAAAGGGUGCGUAGGUGGCAGGGUAAGUCGGAUGUGAAAUCCCGGGGCUCAACCUCGGAACUGCAUUCGAUACUGCUUUGCUUGAGUACUGGAGAGGAGAUUGGAAUUUACGGUGUAGCAGUGAAAUGCGUAGAUAUCGUAAGGAAGACCAGUGGCGAAGGCGGAUCUCUGGACAGUUACUGACACUGAGGCACGAAGGCCAGGGGAGCAAACGGGUAGU